rnacentral:rRNA from 1 species
GUGCCAGCCGCCGCGGUAAUACAGAGGUGGCAAGCGUUGUUCGGAAUUACUGGGCGUAAAGGGCGCGUAGGCGGCCCGUCAAGUCCCGUGUGAAAGCCCCCGGCUCAACCGGGGAACGGCGCGGGAAACUAGCAGGCUUGAGUUCGGGAGAGGGAAGCGGAAUUCCGGGUGUAGCGGUGAAAUGCGCAGAUAUCCGGAGGAACACCGGUGGCGAAGGCGGCUUCCUGGACCGACACUGACGCUGAGGCGCGAAAGCUAGGGGAGCAAACGGGAUUAGAUACCCCCGUAGUCC